rnacentral:rRNA from 1 species
GAUGAACGCUGGCGGCGUGCCUAAUACAUGCAAGUCGAGCGAACAGAUGAGGAGCUUGCUCCUCUGACGUUAGCGGCGGACGGGUGAGUAACACGUGGAUAACCUACCUAUAAGACUGGGAUAACUUCGGGAAACCGGAGCUAAUACCGGAUAAUAUAUUGAACCGCAUGGUUCAAUAGUGAAUGACGGUUUUGCUGUCACUUAUAGAUGGAUCCGCGCCGCAUUAGCUAGUUGGUAAGGUAACGGCUUACCAAGGGAACGAUGCGUAGCCGACCUGAGAGGGUGAUCGGCCACACGGAACUGAGACACGGUCCAGACUCCUACGGGAGGCAGCAGUAGGGAAUCUUCCGCAAUGGGCGAAAGCCUGACGGAGCAACGCCGCGUGAGUGAUGAAGGUCUUCGGAUCGUAAAACUCUGUUAUUAGGGAAGAACAAAUGUGUAAGUAACUAUGCACGUCUUGACGGUACCUAAUCAGAAAGCCACGGCUAACUACGUG